UACAGAGGUGGCAAGCGUUGUUCGGAAUUACUGGGCGUAAAGGGCGAGUAGGCGGCCUUCUAAGUCAGACGUGAAAUCCCCCGGCUUAACCUGGGAACUGCGUCUGAUACUGGGAGGCUAGAGUAUGGGAGAGGGAUGUGGAAUUCCAGGUGUAGCGGUGAAAUGCGUAGAUAUUCGCAAGAACACCAGUGGCGAGGGCGGCUCACUGGCCCGAUACUGACGCUGAGGCACGAAAGCGUGGGGAGCAAACAGG
rnacentral:rRNA from 1 species